UACAGAGGGUGCGAGCGUUAAUCGGAAUUACUGGGCGUAAAGCGUGCGUAGACGGUUAUUUAAGUCGGGUGUGAAAGCCCCGGGCUCAACCUGGGAAUUGCAUUCGAGACUGAAUAGCUAGGGUACGGUAGAGGGAAGUGGAAUUUCCGGUGUAGCGGUGAAAUGCGUAGAUAUCGGAAGGAACAUCAGUGGCGAAAGCGACUUCCUGGACCAGUACCGACGCUCAUGUGCGAAAGCGUGGGGAGCAAACAGG
rnacentral:rRNA from 1 species